rnacentral:rRNA from 1 species
GACGAACGCUGGCGGCGUGCUUAACACAUGCAAGUCGAACGGAAAGGCCCGGCUUUUGUGGGGUGCUCGAGUGGCGAACGGGUGAGUAACACGUGAGUAACCUGCCCUUGACUUUGGGAUAACUUCAGGAAACUGGGGCUAAUACCGGAUAGGAGCUCCUGCUGCAUGGUGGGGGUUGGAAAGGUUCGGCGGUUGGGGAUGGACUCGCGGCUUAUCAGCUUGUUGGUGGGGUAGUGGCUUACCAAGGCUUUGACGGGUAGCCGGCCUGAGAGGGUGACCGGCCACAUUGGGACUGAGAUACGGCCCAGACUCCUACGGGAGGCAGCAGUGGGGAAUAUUGCACAAUGGGCGGAAGCCUGAUGCAGCAACGCCGCGUGCGGGAUGACGGCCUUCGGGUUGUAAACCGCUUUCGCCUGUGACGAAGCGUGAGUGACGGUAAUGGGUAAAGAAGCACCGGCUAACUACGUG